UAUGUAUUUAUUUUUACAUAUAUAUAUGUGUAUUUGUCUAUUUUACUCUUUGAUUUAUUUUAUAGAAACAAAUUUAUACACAUCCAAGGUAUAUAAUACUCAAUACGAUGAAAGUAAAAUUAAGAACAUAAUAUACCAGGUUAACCAAUAAUAUAAAUAAAAAAUGUAAAUGAUAAAAUACUAUAAAACUGUAAUUGUGUGUUGAAGCAUAUUUUUACAUAUGAUAUUAAUGUACGAUACAUAAAAUUUAACAAAGCAUAUAUAUAUAUAUGUUUUAUACACAACUUUGCUUUGUUAUAUAUUACAUAUAUUUAUUCAUUUAUCGUUAUACAUACCCAUUUAUUUAUUUUUUUUACAGAUUAUACUUACUGUCAAUUAUUUACACUCAAAAAAUUUAGUACACAAGAACCUACAUCUUCAAAGCUUCCUGAUUAAAUCUAUUAACAACGAAAUCAUGAUUAAAUUAGAAGACAUUCAUAAGAUUAUAUUAAAUUCAUCAAAAUGUUAUAUUUCCGUCUUAUCUAAUUAUAUAUCUACAUAUAUAUAUUAUUUUGAUGCAUUAAUAUUUGUAAUUUUUGUUUUUUUCUAUAUUCAGCAAACAAAGCUAUGAAAGGCCAAAAUGUGUACAGCAUUGGAGUUAUAAGUGAUUAUAUCAAAAAAAAAAAAAAAAAAAAAAAAAGAGUCUACUUUUAUUUUCAUUAUUUUAAAUACUUCUUACAAGUUUUUCAUUAAUAUAUCAUUUAUUAAUAAUAUUAAAACUUGUAUAAUAUGUUAUUAUUUUUGAUAUAUUUUUAUAGUGUAUUUUUUAAUAUUUGGAAAAUAUCCAAAUUUAUAUAUGAGCAAUAAAGAAGAG
rnacentral:lncRNA from 1 species